CCUCUCUAUGGAAAUGACUUCUCUGCUCUCAACACACUGAAGGCAACGUGGGACACUGAGUCAGGAGAAAUACUGCUUGGAUUUACACUAAAUAUCAUCUUAAUGGAAUAGGAAAAAUAAAUCAGAAGGAAAUUUGCGGAUUUUCAGGAUCUGGAUUAAAAUGGUGUCACUUCUGUUGAUACAAUAUGUGUAUUUCUUUCCCUUGUUUUUAACUGUAGGCUGGCUCCAUGGUCAGGCCCUCAGUCUCUCUGCUUCCCCCCUCCUCUGAGCAGCUCUCUGGGGGCUCGGCCACGCUGGCCUGCCUGCUGACUGGCUACUCUCCUCAGGGAGCCGUGGUGAGCUGGGAGGUGGACGGUACAGCGGUGACAGAGGGGGUCCUGGACAGCUCAGAGGAGGAGAAGAGCGGACGCUACAGCAGCAGCAGCACCCUGAGCCUGAGCCGGGAGCGCUGGAUGAAAGGAGAGCUGUACUCCUGCAAGGUCCUCCAUCAUGCCCACAGCCAGAUCCAGUCCCUCCGCAGGAGCCAGUGUGAGGGCUAGAGGGGCUGAGUGAAGCCCAGGACAGGAGCUGUGUGUGGGGGGAGCAGGAGGAACACACCUGCUGCUCUCAUCCAUAUGAGUUUUAAUCUUUGUAGAGGAAAGUAAAGCUUUGUGUGACAGAGAACAACACUGCUGCAAAGUGUUGGACAACAACAACUUAGAGAGCAAUGUGUGGAGCUCAGCAGCUGGAUGUGAGUGUGCUUAAUAACUGUCUGACUGAUGUUUUUGCUAAUAAAGCUUCAACUGAUACAUGA